CUCUACUGUAGACACAUUCAGUACUUAAAUAUAAAUAUGAAGAUGAUACAUAUUUGAAGAAUAAAAUGUAGAAUCUAAAAACAAAUAAAACGAGAAAAUAAUCAAUUUUUAUUAAAGAGAAGUAUGACUUAGAUUAGAUUAUCAAUAAAAGCCAAUUAGCAAUUAUCAUCAUAUAAAACUAGCAAGAGAAUUAAUUAAAGAAAAAUAUAGACGUAACAGUGGCGAAUUACAUCGUGAAAGCGCUCGCAUAACACUCAGAAUAAAAUGCAUAUGUAUAAACGGAUGUUAAAUCAGAGCCGUGGAUCUGUCUAAUAGAGAAAGUAACUAGCUUCCUUUUCCUGGCCAAAGCAAACAUGAAAGUUGAUAUGCAAAAAAAUUAAUAAUUCAAAUAGUCAUCAAGUUUGCAGAUAGAAAUAAUAUAAAACGGCAGUGUGACGAAAAUAAAGCAAUUUUACUUUAAAUAUCUUCCUUUUGCUUUAUAUAAAAGCAAUUCAAAUAAUGAUAUGAUUUCUAAUAAGAAUGAUAUUAAUGUUGGUGUUGAUAUUGAAUUUUUGAAGGCAAAGUAAUCAUUCUAUAUUUUUUAUCAUGUUUCUUGUGAUUGUUAUUUAAUAUAUUUUACAAGCUAAAAUAUACAAUAUAUGUGUAAUAAAACAUGUCUGAGUGUAA